rnacentral:rRNA from 1 species
ACGCUGGGGACCGCAAGGCCUAGCGGUCUGGGAUCGGCCCAUUUCCUAUCAGCUAGUUGGUGAGGUAAUGGCCCACCAAGGCAUCGACGGGUAGCGGGACUGAGAGGUUGGCCCGCCACAUUGGCACUGAGACACUGGCCAGACUCCUACGGGAGGCUGCAGUAACGAAUAUUGGGCAAUGGGCGAAAGCCUGACCCAGCGACGCCGCGUGUGGGAAGAAGUUCUUCGGAAUGUAAACCACUGUCAGGGAUCACCAAGCGAACGCGCCCAACAUGCGCGCAAGUUGAGGAGUCCCAGAGGAAGCCACGGCUAACUUCGUGCCAGCAGCCGCGGUAAUACGAAGGUGGCGAGCGUUGUUCGGAAUCACUGGGCUUAAAGAGCAUGUAGGCGGCCUGUUAAGCACUUUGUGAAAUCCCCCGGCUUAACCGGGGAAUUGCUUGGUGUACUGGCAGGCUUGAGGCAGGUAGGGGCGCGUGGAACUCUUGGUGGAGCGGUGAAAUGCGUAGAUAUCAAGAGGAACGCCGGCGGUGAAGACGGCGCGCUAGGCCUGUCCUGACGCUGAGGUGCGAAAGCCAGGGGAGCAAACGGGAUUAGAUACCCCGGUAGUCCUGGCCCUAAACGAUGUCCACUAGGUCGGUGGUUCUCUGACGGAUCACUGGCCGAAACAAAAGCGAUAAGUGGACCGCCUGGGGAGUACGGUCGCAAGGCUAAAACUCAAAGGAAUUGACGGGGGCUCACACAAGCGGUGGAGCAUGUUGCUUAAUUCGAUGCAACGCGAAGAACCUUAUCCUGGGCUUGAAAAGCAUGGAUACGGCCUGCGAAAGCAGUGUCCGUUGCCCUUCGGGGUGAAACAUGUACAGGUGCUGCAUGGCUGUCGUCAGCUCGUGUCGUGAGAUGUCGGGUUAA